GGUUGGUGAUAGGCUGAUAGCUAG
rnacentral:siRNA from 1 species